ACCUUUAUUUAUUUAUUUCGGCACCGGAGAUUGAACCCAGGGGGUGGUUGACCACUGAGCCACAUCCCCAACCCUUUUUGUUUUAUUUUUAGACAGGGUCUCCCGGAAUUGCUGAGGGCCUUGCUAAAUUGCUGAGGCUAGCCUCAAACUUUCGAUCCUCCUGCCUCAGCUUCCGGAGUCCCUGGGAUUAUAGGUGUGUGCCACCACAGCUUGCUCCCACCUGCAUUUUAGGCAAAAUGGCCAGCAGGGCUGCCAUGAUAACAUACUACAGACUGUGUGGCUUACACAGAAAUUUAUUUUCUCAUGCUUCUGGAAGAUGGAAGUCCAAGACCAAGGGGCCAGCAGGGUUGGUUUUUUCUGAGACCUCCCUCCUGGGCUUGCAGAGGGCCACCCUGCUGUCUCUUUAUAUGGUCAUCUCUCUGUGCCAGCACACUCCCUGAUGGCUCUUCCUCUUGCAAAGCCACCAGUCAUUGAGCCACACGAAAGGCCUUGUUUUAACUUGAUCACCCUUUAUAGGCCCUGGCUCCCAAUACAGUCCUGUUGUCAGUCACUGGGGUUAGAGCUUCAGUGCAAGAAUUCUGAGGGAACAGGAUAUAGUUCAUAAAGAUCCUGUGUUUGCCAUCAGAUGAUUGGCAAAAGUUAAAAAACCUGCUGGUGACAGUUGUUAGCUAGGUAUGGCAAAGGUGAAAUCAGCGCUCAAUGAUGGGAAUGUUUUGUGGUUGCUUUAGGAUGGGACCAACCCUUCACCCCGAAUUUGGUUCAGAUUGGAGACUGGUGAGGCACAUGCAGAGUUUGCUUACCUGUGCUGAGGCUUUCCGGGCCACAGGCAAGCUCUUCCACAGGUCUGGAAAUGGUUUGAGAGGGGCUUUCAUUGGGAUGAUGGCUGAGGCUGGGGCAAAGGUUCCCUGGAAUUGGCCAGGACUUUCCAGGUUUAAAAUUCCCUCCAGACUUUGGAAGAGAAGGCUUAAGGCCUCCUCAGUUUGCCAGGAUGUGAGCAAAGGGGAAGAGGGAGGAAGGGGCUUUGAAGUAAUUAGCAGUCCCACAUCAAAAAUGGAGUCCGCCGGGCAGGGGUGGCACAAGCCUGUAAUUCCAGCGGCUGGGGAGGCUGAGACUGGAGGAUUGCAAGUUGAAAGCCAGCCUCAGCAACAGCGAGGCACUAAGCAACUCUGUGAGACCCUAUCUCUAAAUAAAAUACAAAAUAGGGCUGGGGAUGUGGCUCAGUGGUUGAAUGCCCCUGAGUUCAAUACAUGGUACCAGGAAGAAAAAAAAAAAUGGAGUCGAACUCUUUAUUACAGUGUCAAAUGAAAACCUGAGCGAGGAGGGCUAGGGUUGUAGCUCAGUGGUCGAGUGCUUGCCUCACUCUUGUGAGGCCCUGAGUUUGAUCCUCAGCACCUCAUAAAAAUAAAUAAAUAAAAUAAAGGUUUUAUGGGGCUGGGGCUGUAGCUCAGUGGUACAGCACCUGCCUUGCACGUGUGAGGCCCUGGGUUCAAUCCUAAGCCACCACAGAAAAAUAUAUAAAUAAAGAUAUUGUGACUAUCUACAACUAAAAAAAAUUUAAAUAAGAAUAAAGAUAUUAUGUCCAACUACAAUUAAAAAAUAAAUAUAGGGCUGGGGAUAUAGCUUAGUUGGUAGAGUGCUUGCCUCGAAUGCACAAGGCCUCUGGGUUCAAUCCCCAGCACCCAUGCACACACACACAAAAAGAAAACUGGCAAAUCUUACUGUAUGUUAAUUGUACUUCAAUAAAAUUGAUACAAAAAUUGUUUUAAAA
rnacentral:lncRNA from 1 species